AUUGAACGCUGGCGGCAGGCCUAACACAUGCAAGUCGAACGGUAACAGGAAGCAGCUUGCUGCUUUGCUGACGAGUGGCGGACGGGUGAGUAAUGUCUGGGAAACUGCCCGAUGGAGGGGGAUAACUACUGGAAACGGUAGCUAAUACCGCAUAACGUCGCAAGACCAAAGAGGGGGACCUUAGGGCCUCUUGCCAUCGGAUGUGCCCAGAUGGGAGUAGCUAGUAGGUGGGGUAACGGCACACCUAGGCGACGAUCCCUAGCUGGUCUGAGAGGAUGACCAGCCACACUGGAACUGAGACACGGUCCAGACUCCUACGGGAGGCAGCAGUGGGGAAUAUUGCACAAUGGGCGCAAGCCUGAUGCAGCCAUGCCGCGUGUAUGAAGAAGGCCUUCGGGUUGUAAAGUACUUUCAGCGGGGAGGAAGGGAGUAAAGUUAAUACCUUUGCUCAUUGACGUUACCCGCAGAAGAAGCACCGGCUAACUCCGUG
rnacentral:rRNA from 1 species